rnacentral:rRNA from 1 species
CCUACGGGAGGCAGCAGUCGAGAAUCAUUCACAAUGGGGGAAACCCUGAUGGGGCGACGCCGCGUGGGGGAAUGAAGGUCUGCGGAUUGUAAACCCCUGUCAUGUGGGAGCAAAUUAAAAAGAUAGUACCACAAGAGGAAGAGACGGCUAACUCUGUGCCAGCAGCCGCGGUAAUACAGAGGUCUCAAGCGUUGUUCGGAAUCACUGGGCGUAAGGCGUGCGUAGGCUGUUUCGUAAGUCGUGUGUGAAAGGCGCGGGCUCAACCCGCGGACGGCACAUGAUACUGCGAGACUAGAGUAAUGGAGGGGGAACCGGAAUUCUCGGUGUAGCAGUGAAAUGCGUAGAUAUCGAGAGGAACACUCGUGGCGAAGGCGGGUUCCUGGACAUUAACUGACGCUGAGGCACGAAGGCCAGGGGAGCGAAAGGGAUUAGAUACCCCUGUAGUC